GGCAGUUCUCGAGUGAUGCACCCUGGAAUCGAGCUCCAUCCUCUCUGGUUCCGGGGUGCGUCAUCCGAGAGCUGCA
rfam:Myotis lucifugus cont2.28280, whole genome shotgun sequence.